AAGUGGUAGGAGAGCGUUCUAUUUGCGUCGAAGGUAUACCGGUAAGGAGUGCUGGAGCGAAUAGAAGUGAGCAUGCAGGCAUGAGUAGCGAUAAUUAAUGUGAGAAUCAUUAACGCCGUAAACCCAAGGUUUCCUACGCGAUGCUCGUCAUCGUAGGGUUAGUCGGGUCCUAAGUCGAGUCCGAAAGGGGUAGACGAUGGCAAAUUGGUUAAUAUUCCAAUACCAACAUUAGUGUGCGAUGGAAGGACGCUUAGGGCUAAGGGGGCUAGCGGAUGGAAGUGCUAGUCUAAGGUCGUAGGAGGUUAUACAGGCAAAUCCGUAUAACAAUACUCCGAGAACUGAAAGGCUUUUUGAAGUCUUCGGAUGGAUAGAAGAACCCCUGAUGCCAUCGAGCCAAGAAAAGUUUCUAAGUUUAGCUAAUGUUGCCCGUACCGUAAACCGACACAGGUGGGUGGGAUGAGUAUUCUAAGGCGCGUGGAAGAACUCUCUUUAAGGAACUCUGCAAAAUAGCACCGUAUCUUCGGUAUAAGGUGUGGUUCGCUUCGUAUUAGGAUUUACUCCGAAAGCGAAGAAACUUACAACAAAGAGUCCCUCCCGACUGUUUACCAAAAACACAGCACUCUGCUAACUCGUAAGAGGAUGUAUAGGGUGUGACGCCUGCCCGGUGCUCGAAGGUUAAUUGAUGGGGUUAGCAUUAGCGAAGCUCUUGAUCGAAGCCCGAGUAAACGGCGGCCGUAACUAUAACGGUCCUAAGGUAGCGAAAUUCCUUGUCGGUUAAAUACCGACCUGCAUGAAUGGCGUAACGAGAUGGGAGCUGUCUCAAAGAGGGAUCCAGUGAAAUUGUAGUGGAGGUGAAAAUUCCUCCUACCCGCGGCAAGACGGAGAGACCCCGUGGACCUUUACUACAGCUUGACACUGCUAUUUGGAUAAGAAUGUGCAGGAUAGGUGGGAGGCUUUGAGUAUAUGACGCCAGUUGUAUAUGAGCCAUUGUUGAGAUACCACUCUUUCUUAUUUGGGUAGCUAACCAGCUUGAGUUAUCCUCAAGUGGGACAAUGUCUGGUGGGUAGUUUGACUGGGGCGGUCGCCUCCCAAAUAAUAACGGAGGCUUACAAAGGUUGGCUCAGAACGGUUGGAAAUCGUUCGUAGAGUAUAAAGGUAUAAGCCAGCUUAACUGCAAGACAUACAAGUCAAGCAGAGACGAAAGUCGGUCUUAGUGAUCCGGUGGUUCUGUGUGGAAGGGCCAUCGCUCAAAGGAUAAAAGGUACCCCGGGGAUAACAGGCUGAUCUCCCCCAAGAGCUCACAUCGACGGGGAGGUUUGGCACCUCGAUGUCGGCUCAUCGCAUCCUGGGGCUGGAGCAGGUCCCAAGGGUAUGGCUGUUCGCCAUUUAAAGCGGUACGCGAGCUGGGUUCAGAACGUCGUGAGACAGUUCGGUCCCUAUCUGCCGUGGGCGUAAGAAGAUUGAAGAGAUUUGACCCUAGUACGAGAGGACCGGGUUGAACAAACCACUGGUGUAGCUGUUGUUCUGCCAAGAGCAUCGCAGCGUAGCUAAGUUUGGAAAGGAUAAACGCUGAAAGCAUCUAAGCGUGAAGCCAACUCUAAGAUGAAUCUUCUCUAAGCUCUCUAGAAGACUACUAGUUUGAUAGGCUGGGUGUGUAAUGGAUGAAAGUCCUUUAGCUGACCAGUACUAAUAGAGCGUUUGGCUUAUCUUU
rnacentral:rRNA from 1 species